GAUGAAGAACGUAGCGAAAUGCGAUAAGUAAUGUGAAUUGCAGAAUUCAGUGAAUCAUCGAAUCUUUGAACGCACAUUGCGCCCAUUAGUAUUCUGGCGGGCAUGCCUGUCUGAGCGUCAUUUCAACCCUCGCCCCCGGCUUUUGCUGGGAGCGGUGUUGGGGAUCGGCCGCCCGUCACUGGGAGGCCGGCCCCGAAAUAGAGUGGCGACCACGCCGUGUGCUCCUCUGCGUAGUAGUAAAUCACCUCGCAGGCGGACAGCGGUGCGGCCUGCCGUAAAACCCCCAACUCUUUCUGGUUGACCUCAGAUCAGGUAGGAAUACCCGCUGAACUUAAGCAUAUCAAUAAGCGGAGGA
rnacentral:misc_RNA from 1 species